ACCGAAAUAGCUCAGUUGGGAGAGUGUUACACUAUAGAUCGAAAAGUCCCUGGUUCGAUUCCGGGUUCCGUCA
rnacentral:tRNA from 1 species